GACGAACGCUGGCGGCGUGCUUAACACAUGCAAGUCGAACGGAAAGGCCCCUUUGGGGGUACUCGAGUGGCGAACGGGUGAGUAACACGUGAGUAACCUGCCCUUGACUUCGGGAUAACUUCAGGAAACUGGGGCUAAUACCGGAUAGGAAUCCUUGCUGCCUGGAGGGGGUUGGAAAGCUUCGGCGGUUUUGGAUGGACUCGCGGCCUAUCAGCUUGCUGGUGGGGGAGUGGCUUACCAAGGCUUUGACGGGUAGCCGGCCUGAGAGGGCGACCGGCCAAAUUGGGACUGGGAAUCGGCCCAGACUCCUACGGGAGGCAGCAGUGGGGAAUAUUGCACAAAGGGCGGAAGCCUGAUGCAGCAACGCCGCGGGCGGGAUGACGGCCUUCGGGUUGUAAACCGCUUUCAGCAGGGGCGAAGCUUGUGGUGACGGUACCUGCAGAAGAAGCACCGGCUAACUACGUG
rnacentral:rRNA from 1 species